GAGGAUGAGAAGAAAAGCGGAGAUGGGGUCCUCCUUCAGCUUCUCUAGGGGUUAGGAAAGAAUAAAGUCACUGCUGCACUGUCAUUUGAGGAGAAGGGGAGGGGGGAGGGGCGGAUCAUCUUGGAAACCCAGUCCCAGGGCCGGAGCAGGCGAGAACUCAGCAAGGCUGCCUGGGAUUAACAUUCUCCUUCUCACCCUCUCCUCCCUUCUAGAAUCUCCCCUCGUCGCUAACGCGCGGCGGCCAGAGUCCCAGAUGACUGUCCCUUCCAAUGUGUCCUCCGUGGGGCGUAGAAAGAACCAGAGAAAAAACUGAGUCAGGAGGUUGAGACUCCGAUGAUCCUCUGGCCUCUCCCAACACCCUCCAGCCUCUCCCAGAACACUAACAAACCUGGAAGUGCCGGGAGUCAGAGUCUCAGAAACAGAUGGCACAUUUUACUCCAGAAGUGACUGUAGCAGACAUGAGAGGAAAAAAGAAGAACAGAACCAGGUGGAGAGGUGUUGCUUCAGAAAACACAGGGCAAAAUACGAGAUGUUUUGUCUAGGAGAAAAUUUCAACAGGAUAACAGAUGAUUCUAGGAAUCCCCUGUAUUUGGAGAAACAGGAAAUCAACUUUGCCCUCUGCUUCAUCAUAUUUCAUCUGAAAUUCUACUCAUCCUUGUACCGAACAAAUAAAUACUUGAGCGUCUACUAUG